rnacentral:rRNA from 1 species
CCUACGGGUGACAGCAGUGGGGAAUAUUGGGCAAUGGGCGCAAGCCUGACCCAGCAACGCCGCGUGAAGGAAGAAGGCUUUCGGGUUGUAAACUUCUUUUGUCAGGGACGAAGCAAGUGACGGUACCUGACGAAUAAGCCACCGCUAACUACGUGCCAGCAGCCGCGGUAAUACGUAGGUGGCAAGCGUUAUCCGGAUUUACUGGGUGUAAAGGGCGUGUAGGCGGGACUGCAAGUCAGAUGUGAAAACCCCGGGCUCAACCUGUGGCCUGCAUUUGAAACUGUAGUUCUUGAGUACUGGAGAGGCAGACGGAAUUUAUGGUGUAGCGGUGAAAUGCGUAGAUAUUAGGAGGAACCCCGAUUGCGAAGGCAGCUUACUAAACUGUGACUGACAUUGAUGCUCGAAAGUGUGGGUAGCAAACAGGAUUAGAUACCCCAGUAGUC